GUGCUGGCUUCAGCAGCACUUGUACUGAAGUUGGAAUGAUACAGAGAUUAGCAUGGCCCUGCACAAGGUUGACACCCAAAAUCCUGAGGCCUUCCACAAAAAG
rnacentral:snRNA from 1 species